GACGAACGCUGGCGGCGUGCCUAACACAUGCAAGUCGAACGGAGUUAAGACUUCGGUUUUAACUUAGUGGCGAACGGGUGAGUAACGCGUGAGGAACCUGCCUUUCAGUGGGGGACAACAGUUGGAAACGACUGCUAAUACCGCAUAAUGUAUUUGGAUCGCAUGGUCUGGAUACCAAAGAUUUAUUGCUGAAAGAUGGCCUCGCGUCUGAUUAGCUAGUUGGUGAGGUAACGGCCCACCAAGGCGACGAUCAGUAGCCGGUCUGAGAGGAUGAACGGCCACAUUGGGACUGAGAUACGGCCCAGACUCCUACGGGAGGCAGCAGUGGGGAAUAUUGGGCAAUGGGGGAAACCCUGACCCAGCAACGCCGCGUGAAGGAAGAAGGCCUUCGGGUUGUAAACUUCUUUUACCAGGGACGAAGAACGUGACGGUACCUGGAGAAAAAGCAACGGCUAACUACGUGCCAGCAGCCGCGGUAAGAC
rnacentral:rRNA from 1 species